ensembl:lncRNA
AGUGGAGGUUUAUGGAGCAGCUACACAUGAACGGAGAUCUUAAGAGCAGAGAGUCUUUUGAACUGAAGGUUUCAGAGUUGCUGAAGAUUCUGGCUAAGAAUGAGUCUCUAUUGUGUGCCAAAAGUGCAGCCUGCAAAAAGCUCCCAUGCAUAACCUUUACUCAUUUUAAGGACAUACAGUGUAGUCCAUACCCCAAAUGUUCUAUAAGAAGCAGAGCAGCCCUCCCUGAGUGUUUUAGUGAGUUGAUAUAUCGGCACUUUGAGAGACCAGACUACCUGAGAGAAAGUCUGUCUGCCUGCUUAGCUCCUGUGGACUCUAGGCCACUGAGGCAGAAUGCAACCCACACAAACGCAGUCUUUCUUCCAUACCAGAAAUGUACAGCAAUGUCGAGGAAUCACAUUUUAAAACACCAGACAGAGCCACAUAUUCUAGGUUUUGGUGAAGAGACACGGAAACAGCAAACAUCACACGUGGGCUGGAAAACAGGGCCAACCACUGACUGGUUCUUUGAAGACUUGGUCGACCUUCAGAGGAAGCUUUAUCUGGGCACGCCGAAGAAGUUGCAGUUUUGUGUUAGUGACCUUCAUUGUAACCACAUGGACACUCAAAAAAUAAAUAUUAGAGACUAAAUAAUCGACAAUGCAAUCAGGCCAUGGAUUGAUUAAUUUAGUGCCAUAAUUUUGUCUAUUUCUGUCUAAACUGUAACAUGC